rnacentral:rRNA from 1 species
GUAUGGGAGUGAGAAUGUUGGCAUGAGUAGCGAGAUGUGGGUGAGAAUCCCACAGGCCGUAAACCCAAGGUUUCCAGGGGAAGGUUCGUCCGCCCUGGGUUAGUCGGGACCUAAGCUGAGGCCGAAAGGCGUAGGUGAUGGACAACAGGUUGAUAUUCCUGUACUACCGAUAACCGUUUGAGAGAAGGGAUGACACAGUAGGAUAAGCUAAGCACACUGUUGGUUAUGUGUGCCCAAGCAUUGAGGCAGUCAAAGUAGGCAAAUCCGCUUUGAUAAUGCUGGGAUGUGAUGGGGAGCGAAAUUUAGUAGCGAAGUAGCUGAUUUCACACUGUCAAGAAAAGUCUCUAUCGAGGUUAAAGGUACCCGUACCGCAAACCGACACAGGUGGGUGAGGAGAGUAUCCUAAGGCCAGCGAGAGAACUGUUGUUAAGGAACUCGGCAAAAUGACCCCGUAACUUAGGGAUAAGGGGUGCCACCAUCAGGUGGCCGCAGAGAAUAGGCCCAAGCGACUGUUUACCAAAAACAUAGGUUUCUGCUAAGUCGCAAGACGAUGUAUAGGAGCUGACGCCUGCCCGGUGCUGGAAGGUUAAGGGGAUCUGUUAGAGCAAUCGAAGCAGUGAACUUAAGCCCCAGUAAACGGCGGCCGUAACUAUAACGGUCCUAAGGUAGCGAAAUUCCUUGUCGGGUAAGUUCCGACCCGCACGAAAGGCGUAACGAUUUGGGCACUGUCUCAACAACAGACUCGGUGAAAUUGUAAUUCCGGUGAAGAUGCCGGAUACCUGCGACAGGACGGAAAGACCCCAUGGAGCUUUACUGUAGCUUGACAUUGGGUCUUGGUACUACAUGUACAGGAUAGGUGGGAGGCUUUGAAACCAGGACGCCAGUUUUGGCGGAGCCAUCCUUGGGAUACCACCCUUGUAGUACUGGGACUCUAACCAUAGGCCAUGAAUCUGGUCUUGGGACACUGUCAGGUGGGCAGUUUGACUGGGGCGGUCGCCUCCCAAAAGGUAACGGAGGCGCUCAAAGGUUCUCUCAGUACGGUCGGAAAUCGUACGUAGAGUGUAAAGGCAAAAGAGAGCUUGAUUGCAAGACAUACAGGUCGAGCAAGGAUGAAAAUCGGACUUAGUGAUCCGGUGGUUCUGCGUGGAAGGGCCAUCGCUCAACGGAUAAAAGCUACCCUGGGGAUAACAGGCUUAUCUC